CAAGGAAUUUUGGACAAUGGGCGAAAGCCUGAUCCAGCGACGCCGCGUGGGGGAUGAAGGCCUCCGGGUUGUAAACCCCUUUUCUCGGGGAGGAAUAAUGACAGUACCUGAGGAAUAAGCCACGGCUAACUACGUGCCAGCAGCCGCGGUGAAACGUAGGUGGCGAGCGUUACCCGGAUUUAUUGGGCGUAAAGAGGGCGCAGGCGGCUUUUCAAGUCGGAUGUAAAAUGUCCCGGCUUAACCGGGAAGGAUCGUUCGAAACUGUUAAGCUAGAGUGCAACAGGGGGAGGUAGAAUUCCCGGUGUAGUGGUGAAAUGCGUAGACAUCGGGAGGAAUACCAGUGGCGAAGGCGGCCUCCUGGACCGUUCCUGACGCUCAGACGCGAAAGCUAGGGGAGCGAACGGGAUUAGAAACCCCGGUAGUCCUAGCCGUAAACGAUGCAAACUUGGUGUUGGUGGGGUAAAAUCCGCCGGUGCCGAAGCUAACGCGAUAAGUUUGCCGCCUGGGAACUACGGCCGCAAGGUUA
rnacentral:rRNA from 1 species